rnacentral:rRNA from 1 species
UGGCGGACGGGUGAGUAAUGUCUGGGAAACUGCCUGAUGGAGGGGGAGUAACUACUGGAAACGGUAGCUAAUACCGCAUAACGUCGCAAGACCAAAGAGGGGGACCUUCGGGCCUCUUGCCAUCGGAUGUGCCCAGAUGGGAUUAGCUAGUAGGUGGGGUAACGGCUCACCAGGCGACGAUCCCUAGCUGGUCUGAGAGGAUGACCAGCCACACUGGAACUGAGACACGGUCCAGACUCCUACGGGAGGCAGCAUG